rnacentral:rRNA from 1 species
CCUACGGGUGGCAGCAGUGAGGAAUAUUGGUCAAUGGGCGAGAGCCUGAACCAGCGAAGUAGCGUGAAGGAUGGCAGCCCUACGGGUUGUAAACUUCUUUUAUAAAGGAAUAAAGUGAGACACGUGUGCCUUAUUGGAUGUACUUUAUGAAUAAGGAUCGGCUAACUCCGUGCCAGCAGCCGCGGUAAUACGGAGGAUCCGAGAGUUAUCCGGAUUUAUUGGGUUUAAAGCGAGCGUAGAGGGGUUGUUAAGUCAGUUGUGAAAGUUUUCGGCUCAACCGUAAAAUUGCAAUUGAUACUGGCAGCCUUGAGUACAGUUGAGGUAGGCGGAAUUCGUGGUGUAGCAGUGAAAUGCUUAGAUAUCACGAAGAACUCCGAUUGCGAAGGCAGCUUACUAAACUGCCACUGACAUUGAUGCUCGAAAGUGUGGGUAUCAAACAGGAUUAGAUACCCCAGUAGUC